rnacentral:rRNA from 1 species
GACGAACGCUGGCGGCGUGCUUAACACAUGCAAGUCGAACGAAGUGGCGAACGGGUGAGUAACGCGUAUUCCACCUGCCCUUCAGAGGGGGACAACAGUGGGCAACGACUGCUAAUACCGCAUACUGAAGGAGGGGAGUGCGUCUGAUUAGCUGGUUGGAGGGGUAAAGGCCCACCAAGGGGAGGAUCAGUAGCCGGUAUGAGAGGAUGCACGGCCACAUUGGGACUGAGACAAGGCCCAUAGUCCUACGGGAGGCAGCAGGGGGGAAUCGUCCGGAAUGGGCGAAAGUCUGACGGAGCAACGCCGCGGGAGUGACGACGGCCUUCGGGUGGUAAAGCUCUGUUAAUCGGGACGCGGUACCGGAAUAGAAAGCCACGGCUAACUACGUGCCAGCAGCCGCGGUAAUAC